GACGGACGCUGGCGGCGUGCCUAAUACAUGUAAGUAGAACGCUGAAGAGAGGAGCUUGCUCUUCUUGGAUGAGUUGCGAACGGGUGAGUAACGCGUAGGUAACCUGCCUUGUAGCGGGGGAUAACUAUUGGAAACGAUAGCUAAUACCGCAUAACAAUGGAUGACACAUGUCAUUUAUUUGAAAGGGGCAAUUGCUCCACUACAAGAUGGACCUGCGUUGUAUUAGCUAGUAGGUGAGGUAAUGGCUCACCUAGGCGACGAUACAUAGCCGACCUGAGAGGGUGAUCGGCCACACUGGGACUGAGACACGGCCCAGACUCCUACGGGAGGCAGCAGUAGGGAAUCUUCGGCAAUGGGGGCAACCCUGACCGAGCAACGCCGCGUGAGUGAAGAAGGUUUUCGGAUCGUAAAGCUCUGUUGUAAGUCAAGAACGGGUGUGAGAGUGGAAAGUUCACACUGUGACGGUAGCUUACCAGAAAGGGACGGCUAACUACGUG
rnacentral:rRNA from 1 species